AGCUGCGAAAAAUGCAAGUUUAGGUCCCUGGCAGGAAUCAAACAUGUGGCCAUCGCAGGGCUGUAGGUUUGAUUCCUGCCAGGGACCUAAACUUGCAUUUUUUGCAGCU
rnacentral:miRNA from 1 species